GCCAGCGUAGCACAGUUGUUUGAGUGUUGGAUUAUGACUCUGGAGACCAGGGUUCGAGUCCCAGCUUGGCC
rnacentral:tRNA from 1 species